rnacentral:tRNA from 3 species
ACAUACUAGCCUAGUGGUUUAAGGCACUUGACUCGUAAUCAAGCAACUCGUAAGAGUUCGCAGGUUCAAAUCCUGCGUAUGAACAA